CAAGAAACAUAAAUGACGAAACAAGUUUUACUUGUUUCGCUUGUUUCUCGAAACAAAAAAGCGGAACAAUGGUUCGACAAUCCGACCAUUUUAAAAAUCGACAGAGAAUAUCCCUGUACAACCGUUGAAGACGACGGUUCCCCAGUUCACCGAGAUCUCUUCUACCCCUGCGUAACCGACGACGAGGAAGCAACGAUCUCCUCCUGCGUAACCGACGACGGGGAGCGGUGAAGGAUGAUCCGUGGGACCCGUUGAUGGCUUUUAAUCUACCCCUUUCUUUCCCACCCGCACCCUCAUCCUCUGAAAAUCGUGAGUGAGCGGAGCGGAGCCCUAAAUUGCGGUUUUCUCAAGACUGCUUGAAGCCGCUUGAAGGAGAAGGAGAAGGAGAAGGAAGCAACUGAUGAAGAAUCGCCCUUUGAAAAUCAUGACGAACCCUAAGUGAGAUUGAAGCAGUUUGAAGGAGAAGGAGAAGGAAGCAACUGGUCGCUGAAUCGCCCUUUGAAAAUUGUGAGGAGCCCUUCAAGUUCUUGCGAUUUGGUGCCCAUACUCUGCAGCUUUCAUUUGCAGCAGUUGAAGAAUACUUGUACGAACUUUGUGCUCCCUCCUUCCACUCCUACUGUGGGGAUCAGAACAUCAGUUACCCUUUCUCCAAAUCCCCCAAUGAGGAAUGUGGGCUAGGCAUCAUCCAUUGUGAUGGACAAUACUCGACACCAUUUAUCAGUUUUGAGUAAGAUCAAAACAGGGUUGAGGUCAAAAGCAUCGACUACAGAGAUGAGAAUAUUGGAAUUCAUGACCUAAGAUUCACGGACCUCAUACUAUGGAACGACUGCAUUAGACUCUACAAUCUCACUCACCCACACUUUUCCGAUCAUCUUUCCUUCCGACUGAUAAGCCCCAACAAUAUUACCUUCCGAAUAUGCAACAAAAUUUUCUAAGCAUUGUCCUGGCUAGGAAUGAAAGGGGUUUAAGUAGUUGUAUAGUCAAUUUUCUAUCAUUGAAGUAUUCUGGAAGUUAGUGGCUUGUUCAAAAUUCAAACAAGCCAUACAGGAAUAAGCUGAGGUUCUUACCUUCUGUGGAGAAAGAUCGUUCUGGAUUUACCCAUUGCAGUUUUAAUCCAACAAUUUCCAUAUCUAAUAAACAUCAUAUUCUGUCCAAAA